AACGCACAUUGCGCCCCCUGGUAUUCCGGGGGGCAUGCCUGUUCGAGCGUCAUGUCACCAAUCAAGCAACGCUUGGUGUUGGAUGCGGUCCCGUCAAAAGGGCCCGUCCCAAAGGCAUGGGCGAGGACACCGACCCCCGGCGUGUUAGAAAUCUGAAACGUCGGGUGCACCGGUGGCCCUCUGCCGUCAAACUUUUUACCAAAGGUUGACCUCGGAUCAGGUAGGAAUACCCGCUGAACUUAA
rnacentral:misc_RNA from 1 species